rnacentral:rRNA from 1 species
AGGGCACCACCAGGAGUGGAGCCUGCGGCUUAAUUUGACUCAACACGGGAAAACUCACCCGGCCCGGACACUGGAAGGAUUGACAGAUUGAGAGCUCUUUCUUGAUUCAGUGGGUGGUGGUGCAUGGCCGUUCUUAGUUGGUGGAGUGAUUUGUCUGGUUAAUUCCGAUAACGAACGAGACUCUAGCCUACUAAAUAGAUCGUCGGCUUACAAACGCCGGCGAGACUUCUUAGAGGGACAGGCGGUGAUUCAACCGCACGAAACAGAGCAAUAACAGGUCUGUGAUGCCCUUAGAUGUCCGGGGCCGCACGCGCGCUACACUGAAGUGAUCAGCGUGCUUUUUCAACCUACUCUGUCAAGAGUGGGGAACCCAAUGAACCAUCUUCGUGAUUGGGAUAGGGGAUUGUAAUUAUUCCCCUUGAACGAGGAAUUCCCAGUAAGCGCGAGUCAUAAGCUCGCGUUGAUUACGUCCCUGCCCUUUGUACACACCGCCCGUCGCUACUACCGAUUGAAUGUUUU